AGUGAACGCUGGCGGUAGGCCUAACACAUGCGAGUCGAACGGCAGCACAGUAAGAGCUUGCUCUUACGGGUGGCGAGUGGCGGACGGGUGAGGAAUACAUCGGAAUCUACUUUUUCGUGGGGGAUAACGGAGGGAAACUUACGCUAAUACCGCAUACGACCUACGGGUGAAAGCAGGGGAUCUUCGGACCUUGCGCGAUUGAAUGAGCCGAUGUCGGAUUAGCUAGUUGGCGGGGUAAAGGCCCACCAAGGCGACGAUCCGUAGCUGGUCUGAGAGGAUGAUCAGCCACACUGGAACUGCGACACGGUCCAGCCUCCUACGGGAGGCAGCAGUGGGGAAUAUUGGACAAUGGGCGCAAGCCUGAUCCAGCCAUACCGCGUGGGUGAAGAAGGCCUUCGGGUUGUAAAGCCCUUUUGUUGGGAAAGAAAAGCAGCAGGUUAAUACCCCGCUGUUCUGACGGUACCCAAAGAAUAAGCACCGGCUAACUUCGUG
rnacentral:rRNA from 1 species